AGCCCCGUCGUCUAGCGGCCAAGGAUGGGUGGCUCUGGACCACCUGACCCAGGUUCGAAUCCUGGCGGGGCUA
rnacentral:tRNA from 1 species